UCAUCCUGGCCCGCUUGCGGAAGACCGCAA
rnacentral:sRNA from 1 species